AGGAGUGUAGCUUAGUUAGUAAAGUACUUGCCUAGCAUGCAUGAAGCCCUGAGUUCAAUUCCAGCACUGCUC
rnacentral:tRNA from 1 species